rnacentral:rRNA from 1 species
GAUGAACGCUGGCGGCGUGCCUAAUACAUGCAAGUCGAGCGAACAGACGAGGAGCUUGCUCCUCUGACGUUAGCGGCGGACGGGUGAGUAACACGUGGAUAACCUACCUAUAAGACUGGGAUAACUUCGGGAAACCGGAGCUAAUACCGGAUAAUAUAUUGAACCGCAUGGUUCAAUAGUGAAAGACGGUUUUGCUGUCACUUAUAGAUGGAUCCGCGCCGCAUUAGCUAGUUGGUAAGGUAACGGCUUACCAAGGCAACGAUGCGUAGCCGACCUGAGAGGGUGAUCGGCCACACUGGAACUGAGACACGGUCCAGACUCCUACGGGAGGCGGCAGUAGGGAAUCUUCCGCAAUGGGCGAAAGCCUGACGGAGCAACGCCGCGUGAGUGAUGAAGGUCUUCGGAUCGUAAAACUCUGUUAGGGAAGAACAAAUGUGUAAGUAACUAUGCACGUCUUGACGGUACCUAAUCAGAAAGCCACGGCUAACUACGUG